rnacentral:rRNA from 1 species
UUCCGGUUGAUCCCGCCGGACCUGACUGCUAUCGGAUUGAUACUAAGCCAUGCGAGUCAUUGUAGCAAUACAAGGCAGACGGCUCAGUAACGCGUAGUCAACCUACCCUAUGGACGGGAAUAACCUCGGGAAACUGAGUAUAAUGCCCGAUAGAACAUUAUGCCUGGAAUGGUUUAUGUUCCAAAUGAUUUAUCGCCGUAGGAUGGGACUGCGGCCUAUCAGUUUGUUGGUGAGGUAAUGGCCCACCAAGACUAUUACAGGUACGGGCUCUGAGAGGAGUGGCCCGGAGAUGGGUACUGAGACACGGACCCAGGCCCUAUGGGGCGCAGCAGGCGAGAAAACCUUGCAAUGUGCGAAAGCACGACAAGGUUAAUCCGAGUGGUUUCUGCUAAAGGAACCUUUUGCUAGUCGUAGAAUCACUGAUGAAUAAGGGGUGGGCAAGUUCUGGCGUCAGCCGCCGCGGUAAAACCAGCACCUCAAGUGGUCAGGAUGAUUAUUGGGCCUAAAGCAUCCGUAGCCGGCUCUGUUAGUUUUCGGUUAAAUCUGUACGCUCAACGUACAGGCUGCCGGGAAUACUGCAGAGCUAGGGAGUGGGAGAGGUAGACGGUACUCGGUAGGAAGGGGUAAAAUCCUUUGAUCUGUUGAUGACCACCUGUGGCGAAGGCGGUCUACCAGAACACGUCCGACGGUGAGGGAUGAAAGCUGGGGGAGCAAACCGGAUUAGAUACCCGGGUAGUCCCAGCUGUAAACUAUGCAAACUCAGUGAUGCAUUGGCUUGUGGCCAAUGCAGUGCUGCAGGGAAAGCCGUUAAGUUUGCCGCCUGGGAAGUACGUACGCAAGUAUGAAACUUAAAGGAAUUGGCGGGGGAGCACCACAAGGGUGAAGCCUGCGGUUCAAUUGGAGUCAACGCCGGG